UACGGAGGAUGCGAGCGUUAUCCGGAUUUAUUGGGUUUAAAGGGUGCGUAGGCGGCUUAGUAAGUCAGCGGUGAAAUUUUGCAGCUUAACUGUAACAGUGCCGUUGAUACUGCCAGGCUAGGAUUUGGUUGCUGUGGGUGGAAUGUGUGGUGUAGCGGUGAAAUGCUUAGAUAUCACACAGAAUAUCGAUUGCGAAGGCAGCUCACAAAGCCAAGAUUGACGCUGAGGCACGAAAGUGUGGGGAUCAAACAGG
rnacentral:rRNA from 1 species